rnacentral:lncRNA from 1 species
UCGCGCGCCCGGCUUAAGGAGGUCUGCGCCCUUAAGGUUCCCAAGAUGGAGGAGCUGUGGGCAAAGAAGCAGCCUUUCUGUUCAUGCCCAGAGCCUAAGCCCUGCCCUGAACCCACACUGGAAGUCUGUUGGGGCUUGUGUGGGCCCUGGAGUGGAUAGUCUGGCUGUGGACUGUGGAUGCAUUUAUCAGGGGAUGGUGCAAGCCAUCAUCGGAAGCAGAACGUCUGAAUGACCCGGGACCCCGAGAUUCUAGGAUGUAGAAGAGCAUGGAAUCACUGCAAGGCAGCCAGUGCUGCAGUUUCAUAAUGGAUUGCUUUGCCUAGCAUAUGCCAGGCCCUGGGUUCAAUCUCCAGCAUGGUGAAAAAGAAAGAAAAUUG